UACAGAGGUCUCGAGCGUUAGGCGGAAUCACUGGGCGUAAAGCGGGUGUAGGCGGUUCUUUAAGUCGGAUGUGAAAUCCAGCGGCCCAACCGCUGAAUUGCAUCCGAUACUGGGGAACUUGAGGACGGUAGAGGUCGGUGGAAUAUCCGGUGUACCGGUGAAAUGGACAGAUAUCGGAUGGAACACCAGUGGCGAAGGCGGCCGACUGGGCCGAUCCUGACGCUGAGACCCGAAAGCUAGGGUAGCGAACCGG
rnacentral:rRNA from 1 species